GUGCUUGCUUGGGUAGCACCUAUACCAAAAUUGAAACAAUAGAGAAGAGUAGCAUGGCCCCUGUGCAAGGAUGACAAACAAAUUUUUGAAGUGUUCCAUAAUUUU
ensembl:snRNA U6 U6 spliceosomal RNA